AACGAACGCUGGCGGCAGGCUUAACACAUGCAAGUCGAGCGGGGUUUUCGGACCUAGCGGCGGACGGGUGAGUAAUGCGUAGGAAGCUACCCGAUAGAGGGGGAUACCAGUUGGAAACGACUGUUAAUACCGCAUAAUGUCUACGGACCAAAGUGUGGGACCUUCGGGCCACAUGCUAUCGGAUGCGCCUACGUGGGAUUAGCUAGUUGGUGAGGUAAUGGCUCACCAAGGCGACGAUCCCUAGCUGGUUUGAGAGGAUGAUCAGCCACACUGGAACUGAGACACGGACCAGACUCCUACGGGAGGCAGCAGGGGGGAAGAUUGGACCAUGGGCGCAAGCCUGAUCCAGCCAUGCCGCGUGUGUGAAGAAGGCCUUCGGGUUGUAAAGCACUUUCAGUAGGGAGGAAGCGUUGUGUGUUAAUAGUACACAGCGUUGACGUUACCUACAGAAGCAGCACCGGCUAACUCUGUGCCAGCAGCCGCGGUAACAC
rnacentral:rRNA from 1 species